rnacentral:snoRNA from 1 species
AUGAAUCUCUGACACACCUAGAGCAGUUAAUGUCUGCUGCUAAGGUUUCCACUACAGAUGCAAGAAAUAGAAGGUCCUUGCACUUUUUGUCUGUCUGGCUGUGGCAGCCAAGAUUGUAUGGGGGAAUACAGGA